rnacentral:rRNA from 1 species
UACAGAGGGUGCGAGCGUUGUCCGGAAUCACUGGGCGUAAAGGGCGCGUAGGCGGUGCGAUAAGCGUGCGGUGAAAGCCCGGGGCUCAACCCCGGGUCGGCCGUGCGGACUGUCGGACUGGAGCACUGUAGAGGCAGGUGGAAUUCCGGGUGUAGCGGUGGAAUGCGUAGAGAUCCGGAAGAACACCGGUGGCGAAGGCGGCCUGCUGGGCAGUGGCUGACGCUGAUGCGCGACAGCGUGGGGAGCAAACAGG